GCCUUCGUGGUGUAGUGGUCAGCACGCUCGACGCGUAACCCAGAUGCCCAUGGUUCGAUUCCCAGCGAAGGCG
rfam:Stegodyphus mimosarum contig95856, whole genome shotgun sequence.